rnacentral:rRNA from 1 species
AUUCCAGCUCCAAUAGCGUAUAUUAAAGUUGUUGCAGUUAAAAAGCUCGUAGUUGAAUUUCGGGGUUCUACCGUUGGUCGGGCUUUGUCUGUACUGGCGUGUAGAAUUUCUACCUUCUGGGGAACCAUCAUGUUAUUAAUUUAACGUGGUGGGAAACCAGGACCUUUACCUUGAAAAAAUUAGAGUGUUCAAAGCAGGCUUAUGUCUGAAUACAUUAGCAUGGAAUAAUAGAAUAGGACGGUGGUCCUGUUUUGUUGGUUUCUGAAUCACCGUAAUGAUUAAUAGGGAUAGUUGGGGGCAUUAGUAUUCAAUUGUCAGAGGUGAAAUUCUUGGAUUUAUUGAAGACUAACUUCUGCGAAAGCAUUUGCCAAGGAUGUUUUCAUUAAUCAAGAACGAAAGUUAGGGGAUCGAAGACGAUCAGAUACCGUCGUAGUCUUAACCAUAAACUAUGCCGACUAGGGAUCGGACGA